GUGGCUGUAGCUCAAUGGUAGAGCGCUGGCCUGUGGAGCCGGAUGUUGCGGGUUCGAAUCCCGUCAGCUACCC
rnacentral:tRNA from 1 species